rnacentral:lncRNA from 1 species
GAGUGGAAUGGGCACAAGGGAGGGGCUGGUUGGAGGUGGGAGGAACAACCCCCACCAAACCCAGAGCCGAAAACUGAGGGAGUUUUACAGACAGGACGGAGCUCCUGCACCUCGGAGCCUCAGUUGGGAAUGACCUGGGGUCUUGUCCUGAAGCUGAGUCUGGUGAACGUGCCCCAUUUGUAACAUGAGGGGUACUUCUCUGGAGGGACUGUAUGUUGACAGUGGCAGAGUGGAGCCCUGAAGUCCACCUGAGUGAAUAUACCAGGGCUUGAGAAUGGGCUUUGAUCCUUCCAUCCCCGCAAAAGGCAUUUUCCUACCACCUCCCAAGGCUGAUGGGGCAGUGUGGGCAUUUCAAGUGUUGCAGUUCUGUUGCCCAGCC